CUGCUUUGACAGCAUAUAAUCUAAAACUGCAAUGAUAAAGAGACCAUAAGCAGGUCCCUGUGUGAUGAUGGCACACAAAUUUGUAAAGUCUUCUGUGAUUUU
ensembl:snRNA U6 U6 spliceosomal RNA